GGCCGCGACUCAGCGGUUAGCAAGCCGUCUGGUUUGUCCAGAACCUCCCUGGUUCAGCAUUACAAGGCCUCCGAAGAUCCGGACGUUUGGUCACGGGAUAGGACCCGCGGACACAACCCGGGCGCCCUGCUUCCCGUGGGGCCGGGCCUUCGGUGCGGCGCCUGGCCUCUGUGCCCCUCCUCCUUGCCGGCAGGACCCGCGCGGCCGCCGGGGGCGCUGUGGGACGCGGGAGCGAUCGGACAGGCGCUCUGGCCUCGGGCGCCGCCGCUCCUUCCGCCUUCCCGGCGGGCCGCGCGCGGCGCCUGCGCACUCGGUGACCUUUGCGGGUCGGCUUCGCGGUGUGGAGCGGCUUGAGCUAUUGGUUCUGGCGAGAUGCUUCAAACCAUUAUUAAAAACUACUGGAUCCCCUUGAAGCCCUACUAUACCCAGGUUUACCAAGAGAUUUGGGUAGGAAUGGGGUUAAUGAGCUUCAUUGUUUAUAAAAUCAGGAGUGCUGAUAAAAGAAGUAAAGCUUUGAAAGGUUCAAGUCCUGCACCUUCUCAUGGUCAUCAUUAGCCAGCUUGCUUGAGUACAGAAUCGUCAGCCUGUAAAUCUAAGCAGGCUUUGUUAAAUGGGAACACGGAAUGUCGCCAUACCCUUAUAUAAGUACCAUGUUCUUUGAGGCAUGAAUAAAUGAUCUGUGAGAUGCACCACUACCAUGCCAGUACUGCUUUGUUUCCCCCAAGUAGAGCCUUUGCAGUGCAGCAGGGGCCCUCACCCAGCCCGCCCUCCUGAGCAAACCUGAGAAUGAGGAGUAAGUCUCCACUGCCACAGGGGUUGGUGAGUCUAGGCAUUAAUUUGAAUUCUAAUACUUAAUAAAUGUUUGUUAAACAAA